ensembl:lncRNA
CAAGGGGUUGUUUUAACACAGUGUAGACAAGGGGUUGUUUUAACACAGUGUAGACAAGGGGUUGUUUUAACACAGUGUAGACAAGGGGUUGUUUUAACACAGUGUAGACAGGGGGUUGUUUUAACACAGUGUAGGCAGGGGGUUGUUUUAACACAGUGUAGACAGGGGGUUGUUUUAACACAGUGUAGACAGAGGGUUGUUUUAACACAGUCUAGACAGGGGGCUGUUUUAACACAGUUGUGUGAGUUGUGGCUUAUGAACUUCUA